UUUAUUGGAGAGUUUGAUCCUGGCUCAGGAUGAACGCUGGCGGCGUGCCUAAUACAUGCAAGUCGAGCGAAUGGAUUAAGAGCUUGCUCUUAUGAAGUUAGCGGCGGACGGGUGAGUAACACGUGGGUAACCUGCCCAUAAGACUGGGAUAACUCCGGGAAACCGGGGCUAAUACCGGAUAACAUUUUGAACCGCAUGGUUCGAAAUUGAAAGGCGGCUUCGGCUGUCACUUAUGGAUGGACCCGCGUCGCAUUAGCUAGUUGGUGAGGUAACGGCUCACCAAGGCAACGAUGCGUAGCCGACCUGA
rnacentral:rRNA from 1 species